GCAGCAGCUGACAGAUAUCACUUGUGUGAUCUGAGUCACAUGCACCAACGAGACUGACCGAAUAUCAAACGAGAGUCACCCAGGCGACUCCAGACUCUGACUGGAAGUGAACAAAAGUCUCCAGGCUCCAGAAGAUUGGACAACGAGACACCUGUCUACACACUUAUUACCCUAGAGACGUUCACUUGAUACGCUGCUCACUAAUAGUCGUGUGACAGACUGUACCUCCCCUUUCACUGAAUAGAACAAAAGUUUGAGUACCUGGCAAUAUCUCCCCUUCCACCGACGAGGACAAAAGAGAACUACCUGGCAAUAUCCUGUUUAUUGUCCCACUGAGGCUUGUUUAAUUAAAAAUAAACACCUCUUUAUGGUCCAAGGUCGCCAAUACAAUUGGUGUUCUAUUACAGGAAGUGGCCUAUUGUGGACAGAAGCAGAUCAGUGAGAGUGGACAGCUUGUAUUGGUCGUGUAGAAGGGCUGGACAGCCUCAGGAUCACGGGGUUCGGGGCCUGUUCCUGAGGAAGCAGUUUAUUCUUCAUGUCGUGAAAGGAAAAGGAGGAUUCUGCUAGUCGGUGUCUUUGCCAUCCCGGGGAACCAAAAGCCCCUACUAAAGAUGGUCAGCAUUACCUCUGUCUGCUGCUUCCAGUUCUUCAAGCUACCGGUUUCCUGGUAAUGGAGGAGCCCACUGAUACCACCUUCUGGACCGGUCCUCAUAUCCAUCUCAUUAUUGCCCUGGAACCAGCUACAUCAAUGGUCCCGCCAGUAUGCUAUGGCAGCUGUGCUGUACUUUUCACAGAUGUGCCGACAUGUGGUGGAGAACAAGCAUUCUAAAUAACCAAUGCACAAGGUAGAGGAACAAAAACGGUGGGUCUGUUCCCUUUGAUGGUCUUUGUUAUAGAUAACAACACACUUUUACAGGCUUGCCUUGCAGGUGAAUUUAUUGGACAUCAACAAAGGGAUUCAACUGAAACGCCAUUACGUGUCAGACAGGUGUUGCUGCGUCUGCAAUAUCAAUCAUUGUCUGUAGUGUGCCGCCGUGUUAAACAUCACUAAAGGUUCU